rnacentral:lncRNA from 1 species
GGUGCCAGAACCCCAUCUAGCCUCAGAGCUCCAUCUCAGAACAGGACCCAGCCAGAUGGAGCAGGAACUUGUGCAAUUGGCCAACAGCUCCCCUGUUGACCUUCUCUGUGCUCCUGUUCCUUCAUGCCUGCCAUCCCCUCAGCUAAGACCAGAUCCUGUCAUCCUGCAGCCCACUGAUCUCAUUCAGUUUGAGGAACACCCUCAGGAGCCUUUGGGAGUUUUAUUUUUAAACCAAGAAGAAAAAACAGAAAUUCCAAUACCAGUAAAGAAGGGGAACCUGUCCUGUAACUCCUCACCCAGUAGCCCAGCAUCUGCUUCUGCUCCUCCCAAACCCUCCUCAGAAGCCCCCGGGCUACUGAUUAGCAAGGAUGCAGUGGAAAGCCCAGCAAAAAAGCAGCCCAAAAAUAGAGUCAAAUUGGCAGCCAACUUUUCUUUUGCACCUGUGACCAAGCUCUAACUUCCAGUUUGAACACAGAAUUAAAUUAGGAUGGGGGGAAAACUGUCUGAUUCUACACACAAAAAUAGGCUUAAAAACCUUAUUUCAUGUCUUGACCCCAGAAGCCACUUUUAUUAAUGGUCCAUAGGGAAAUGUUUGUUUCCAACUUUCAGAUGAACUUUUUCUUACUUUAUUUCUUCCAGUUAUUUGAAAGAACUCCAUUAAGGAAUCUGUAUUAUAUUUACCAAAUUUUUCUAGACUAUUGUGAAUUGUGGUGGUUGGGAAGAAAUAAGCAGAGAUCGUUCAGCAGGAAGUGGAUUGAGUCCCAUUGAGCAGCCUCCAUCAUUUGUUUAAGCAAAUGUAUUUGUGGUUGUUCAAGAAGCCAAACAUGUCCUUAAACCUGUGGGUCACACACUGGGGCAUGAUUGAGUGGCAAGAGAGCCAUUUUCCGGUUGACAGGAAAGUUCCUGGCUUC